rnacentral:rRNA from 1 species
UACGUAGGGUGCGAGCGUUAAUCGGAAUUACUGGGCGUAAAGCGUGCGCAGGCGGUUCGUUGUGUCGGCGGUGAAAGCCCCGGGCUUAACCUGGGAAUGGCCGUUGAAACUGGCGAACUGGAGUGUGGCAGAGGGGGGUGGAAUUCCACGUGUAGCAGUGAAAUGCGUAGAUAUGUGGAGGAACACCGAUGGCGAAGGCAGCCCCCUGGGUUAACACUGACGCUCAUGCACGAAAGCGUGGGGAGCAAACAGG